AUCAAGGUUCAUACCCGAGGAUCUCACAGGACUCAACAAUGACUAAAUAUUCAUCAAUCCCUCAAUCCUUGGAUCAAACUCUCCAGUUGGCAUGCCUAUACAAAUUAUAACGAGGGGAUAUAAAUCAGUGAAGAACUACAUCGAGAAUCUGAAGAAAGGGAGGACGAUGAUGUACCACGCCUGUGGGAUGAUAGUAGGGUGUGCUGGUAGUGGUACCACGCCUCUAGGAUGAUAGUAGGCUGUGCUGGUAGUGGUACCACGCCUCUGGGAUGAUAGUAGGGUGUGCUAGUAAUGGUACCACGCCUCUAGGAUAAUAGUAGGGUGUGCUGGUAGUGGUACCACGCCUCUGGGAUGAUAGUAGGGUGUGCUGGUAGUGGGAAAACAACUUUGUUAGAGAGACUGAAGGGCAUUGACGUGGCCGAAAUUCAGAAAAAGACCAAAUCCACGAGGGGAAUUAACAUAUAUGCUGACAUCUUUGAUGUGUCAACCACUAUCAAAGAAAACUCAUCAGAUCAAAUACAACAUUUCAAGGUAACGUUUGAUGACACCAGUCAAAAUCACGAUGUUCAAGAACACCAAGUAGAAGUAACUUAUUAAUUGAAAAAGCAGGAUAUUGAAGAACCAAUAGUGGGUGAAAACCUUGCCAGUGAAGUAAUUAGUGUGGAUCAUAUGUCAGAGGACAAAGUUAAGCUUGAAGCUGAUUUGUCGGAAGGAAUCAAAGCUGCUACUUUGUCUACUAAACCAAAGGGAGAAAAUUAUGAUAGUCAGAAUGUUGCUGAAGAUUCUAAAAUAUCGGGAGUUUUACGCUUUACGAAAAAUGUUUCUGAUGAUCCCGAGAAAAGAAUCUCUAUACUGGAUUUUGCUGGACAGUGCGCAUAUUAUGCCUCACACCAGAAUUUUUUUGAGUCCACGAGCAUUCUUUAUUCUGGUUCUCAAUAUGGAGAAAAAGUUUGAUGAUCAAGUUGGAGAAGAAGUGGGUAGCCAGACAGGCUCCAUCUUCAAAGAAUGGACACACAGAGGUUUGUUAGAAAACACUGUUUAACAAGAUGAGAAAUGAUAAAUUAAUACACAUUAUAAAAUGAUUAUUAUGCGGAAAGAAAUACGUUCUAUUCAAGUUGGAGAAUACGUAUACGGUCUGUAACCCUUAGGAAGUCACGGAGUACACGUUUGUAACCCUUAGGAAGUCACAAUGUAUUCCAACAUGGGAAUGGGAGAAGCUCUUGAGUGAAACAGGAUAUUUAUUUCAAAUUUUCAAAAUGUUAACUGAAUUAAUCAAAUAGUCCAUUUGAUAAUUUUUCAUAAUAACAUUUU